CGAAAUGCGAUAAGUAAUGUGAAUUGCAGAAUUCAGUGAAUCAUCGAAUCUUUGAACGCACCUUGCGCUCCUUGGUAUUCCUUGGAGCAUGCCUGUUUGAGUAUCAUGAAAUCUUCAAAGUAAAUCUUUUGUUAACUCAAUUGGUUUCUACUUUGGUAUUGGAGGUCUUUGCAGCUUCACACCUGCUCCUCUUUGUUCAUUAGCUGGAUCUCAGUGUUAUGCUUGGUUCCACUCGGCGUGAUAAGUUAUCUAUCGCUGAGGACACUGUAAAAGGUGGCCAAGGUAAAUGCAGAUGAACCACUUCUAAUAGUCCAUUGACUUGGACAAUACUUUUAUGAUCUGAUCUCAAAUCAGGUAGGACUACCCGCUGAACUUAAGC
rnacentral:misc_RNA from 1 species